GAAAAUCUUCCUAAACUGCUGGAGGAUACACCUCUGAUAGCUUGAGACAAAUAUCCUCUUGAUCAUUGUUUCACCAUAUUUGUCUUUGCUCAUGGAGAACCAUUUUGAUCCGUGGUUUAGCCUCCCAGGUGAUUGAACAAUACCGGUGAUCUGAGGCAGACCCUCUGUGACGGAUAACAGGAAAGAAUAUUGAUUGAACAUCUACUCAAGAACUGCAAAACAGAGAUUACCUGACCUAAAGCAUUUAUAUUGCCAAUCAUGUUGGAGAGUCCAUGUGGUGAUUUCUGAAAACGAGAUGUGAGAAAGAAGAGGAUAAUUUAAGUCUAG
rnacentral:lncRNA from 10 species